UCUUCUUCACAUGGCUGCUUCCUUGUAUGAUCAUGCUUGAAUUUCUUUGAUGGUAUGCUUGUUUUUGUUGGUUUGCAUCUCUUGUUUUGUUGCUUUUCCCAGUUCUUUUGAAGUUCCUGUACAUGAUAUUGUCCUCCAAAUUCUAGGUAGCUUUCAGCUUCACAAUAAGACAAUUUUAAAAUGGCCUGACUGAGAAGUGUAAGAGCUUCAGGGAAGAUAACUUUGGUAAUGAAGUCUAUUCCAGAAGAUGGAAACCAUCCAAGAAGUUUACUUACAAUAAGGUUUGGAGCACUCUUGCUGAAACCUGAUUUGAAAACUUCACAAGGCCAGCAUUUUUCUUCGCAUUCUAAUUUGUUUAUUAAAUCAUUCUUAAUGCAUGAAAGGUGUAA